CCUACGGGGGGCAGCAGUGGGGAAUAUUGCACAAUGGGGGGAACCCUGAUGCAGCAACGCCGCGUGGGUGAAGAAGUACUCCGGUAUGUAAAGCCCUGUCAGCAGGGAAGAAAAUGACGGUACCUGACCAAGAAGCCCCGGCUAACUACGUGCCAGCAGCCGCGGUAAUACGUCGGGGGCAAGCGUUAUCCGGAUUUACUGGGGGUAAAGGGAGCGUAGACGGCAAGGCAAGUCUGGAGGGAAAGCUCCGGGCCUAACCACCGGACUGCCUUGGAAACUGGGUUGCUGGAGUGGAGGAGGGGUACGCGGAAUGCGUAGUGUAGCGGUGAAAUGCGUAGAUAUUAGGAGGAACACCGGUGGCGAAGGCGGCUUACUGGACUGUAACUGACGUUGAGGCUCGAAGGCGUGGGGAGCAAACAGGAUUAGAUACCCCAGUAGUC
rnacentral:rRNA from 1 species